rnacentral:lncRNA from 1 species
UAAGGUUCAAGCUACCGAUGGAGCGACUUCCCCACAGCAGCCCUGCUGCCUUCCUGUCAGUGCUGUCUUGCCGAGUGAGACCAGGCUGAGGAAGGUCACAGACAGCUGAAUCUGGACCAGCGACACUUCCCAGGCUCCUCCUGCUGGGCCCAGGCCCCGACUACCCUGCCCUCUCUCACCACUUCCGCCAUGCUGCAGAGCCACCACAAGCUAAACUGCCAGCUGUGGGCGUCCUCAAGACUUGCUAAUGUGUCUGGUAACACAGAAGCUAACAGAGAAGGCUCAUCAUGAGGAAGAUUAAGAUCUGAAGAACAUGGCCCUGGGGAUAUGCAUCAGUGGGUCCAACUUCCCAAUAUCAGCCCUCAUGGUCAAAGGCUAUGAAGGAGCCAAUUCCAUGGAGGCUUCAGCGCUACCACCUCUGCUCUCCAAAGACUGUUCCAGUACAAGCUCCCUCAUGCAGCAAUAGAAGAUACUCAGAUCCGACCUCCAGGGGCUAUCCAAAGGCACCCUAACCCUUCACUUUUCUUUCUACCUCCAUUUUGACCACCUCCAAAUUGUUGGAUGAGUCACAUAAGCUGAUGGAGAAAUUGUAGCCAGCAAAGUCCUCAAGAGGGUCACAGAACUCCAGAGAGCCAAGUGAAGUAGAGGCACUUCUCCAGGUGGCUUGCAUUUGUAGUAGACCCAUAGGUGACCCCCGGUGCAAUGCUUUUGAGGUCAGAGAACUAAAGAAAGGCCUUGACUCAACUCAAAGGAAAGCAACGGUACAUAGAAGUACUUCCAACUUAGAGGGCAGAAUUUCUGCACCCUCAGAAGAAACUUCCUAGAAAACAAUACGCCUUUUAUCUUCAAGAACACAGCAAAAAUCACAUCGAAGAAUUUGCAGAACUCAAAUCCGGGAAAAUCCUGUUGGAGGAAGUGUCAGAAAAAGAAACAGGGACAACCUUGAGGUCCAAGCCGUCCCUUAGAACAGACUAGUUACAGUCCAGCGCCUUCAAGGAUGCUCUGAGCCUGCUUCCACCUGCACACCCAGACAUUUCUCCCUUGCUCCCUCGGAACAGAACCACCUCAGCAGCCACGGGGGACAAUGGGAAAGGAUAGGGCAGAGGCCCAGCUGGGCCAAGACUGGUGCCAUGCUCACCAUGACAUGACCUUCACGUGUGUCCGUCUCAGGGCUGCAGUGCUGCAACCCACAGCCAAGUAUCUGGAUGCCCCCUCCUGCCCAGGGAUGCACACACAGGGAACCCUGUCCGUCACACAGAAACACAGAUGCCCGGCAGGUUCCGUAUUGCCAGCACCCUUGGUCCUUUCCCUGACAGGCUUCAAGUGAGGAGAACAAAGAAUGAGAAAGGAGCACCUGCCUCCCAGGCUCACUUGUCUCCUCAAAAGGCCUUUCUUUCCCCAGUUUGACCUUUACAAAACUACACAUUUCUACAGACUGUAGGAUUCAAGUGAGAUUUUUUUUAAUCUGAAAAGUGAGAAGAACUCGUUCGUUCGUUUGGAGACUAUGGGUUAAAAUGCAGAGCGCACCAUGUUCUCCUUGGAGAACACUGGCACCCAAGCGUUCUUGCUCUUCACCACAGGAAGCUCUGGGCUCUGGCUGGAUUAGCUGCUCUCAAGACUGGGGCCUCCAAAUGUUCUCGAGAGUCAAGGUAGGAUGACACCGGGCUCUCUUCUGUGUGCCAUUCAAACUACACUGUGUCUUCAACAUCUCAUCACCUCCAAGGAGAAAACCCUGGGGGGGAGAGACAAAGUGCCCUCUGCACACUUGGCCAUAAGAGUUUCCCAAGUUUCUCUGGCGAUCUGCCUUCGCCGCCGUCAUCCCGACCCUCCCUUCCGCCUCGCUUCCGCACAGCCGACCCGACACUCACUACUCCUUGAGCAGCACCAUGUCGCUUCGCGGCUCGGCG